rnacentral:rRNA from 1 species
CAGAGGGUGCAAGCGUUAAUCGGAAUUACUGGGCGUAAAGCGUGCGUAGACGGUUAUUUAAGUCGGGUGUGAAAGCCCCGGGCUCAACCUGGGAAUUGCAUUCGAGACUGAAUAGCUAGGGUGCGGAAGAGGGAAGCGGAAUUUCCGGUGUAGCGGUGAAAUGCGUAGAUAUCGGAAGGAACACCAGUGGCGAAAGCGGCUUCCUGGUCCAGCACCGACGUUCAGGCACGAAAGCGUGGGGAGCAAACAGGAUUAGAUACCCUGGUAGUCCACGCCAUAAACGAUGAGAACUAGACGUUGAGAGGGUAAGCCUCCCAGUGUCGAAGCUAACGCGAUAAGUUCUCCGCCUGGGGAGUACGGCCGCAAGGUUG